rnacentral:rRNA from 1 species
UUUCGCAAUGCCCGAAAGGGUGACGAAGCGACGCCGCGUGUGGGAAGAAGGCCUUCGGGUUGUAAACCACUGUCGGGAGUUAAGAAAUGUAAGGAUGUUAAUAGCGUCCUUACUUGACUAAGGCUCCGGAGGAAGCCACGGCUAACUCUGUGCCAGCAGCCGCGGUAAUACAGAGGUGGCAAGCGUUGUUCGGAAUUAUUGGGCGUAAAGAGCACGUAGGCGGCCUUGAAAGUCAGUUGUGAAAGCCUUCCGCUUAACGGAAGAACAGCAGCUGAUACUACAGGGCUUGAGUGCGGGAGGGGAGAGUGGAACUUCUGGUGGAGCGGUGAAAUGCGUAGAUAUCAGAAGGAACGCCGGCGGCGAAAGCGGCUCUCUGGCCCGUAACUGACGCUGAGUGUGCGAAAGCUAGGGGAUCAAACGGGAUUAGAUACCCCGGUAGUCCUAGCCGUAAACGAUGGGCACUAAGUAGAGGGGUUUUA